UUUAAAGACAAAAUAAUGUAAAAUGUAGACUGAGACAACAUCAGAAUAAACAAAAAUAAAAUGUAAAAAAUCUAUCAAGACAAGCCAUUAGCUAAGUUGGUGAUCUUCUUGAAAUCCGCUAGAGGUGGUGGAACAUAUCAUUGUCCUUUGUACUUGUCAUCUUUUUUUUUUCCCUUACCUUUUCUCUUUUGGGCAGACAGAAAGUGUAAGGUAACAUGAUGUUGAAGCAAAGCCACAAUUUUUCACUUCAUUGGCCGACAAAAUGAGAAUCAGAAUCCACUUACAAGGGCUACACUACAUCCACCACAAUCUGCUCAAGCCCGGAAACCAUCUCAUUGCAGCUUAGAAAGUUAUUAUAGCUGUCUCGACAAGGGCAGCAGCAUAGGGAAUGCCCCGAUGGAUGCCCACUCUCUAGUGUUCGGUGGACAAGAUCAGCUUAUGCUCGGUGAUAAAAUGUUGUACUUUGCAAGACCGUAAGUGUCAGAGAACAAGACAAAUGAAGAUAUUGAGUCUUAAGGUCUAGCGUCCCUGUCAAUUUGUGCACAAUCUCUUUUGAACUCUUUACCAAGCCCCUUUUCUUAUUAGUGUUGAACUCAAGUUCUUCUAAAUCACAUCCAACAAGUAAGAUAAAUGUGUUCCAAUAUAUGACCUAUUCCGCACGAAGAAAAAGUACAUAAAAUGGUGAUCAUUUGAAAUCAGGUCCAAAUUUAUGAGUAAUAGCACGGGUGUUAACAUGAUACUAAAUAUUUCACGAAACAUUUGGCAAGAUGCUUGAGAUCUUUAAU
rnacentral:lncRNA from 1 species